CCUCUUCCAGAUUCAGUCUUCAUUGCCUCUCACAAUCAUGGUGUCCCAUACUCAAAUAGAAGCUAGUUUCCAUGUGCCUGAUUACCCAGAGGUGACCAGUUACCAACUCAUGCAUACUGGCAGCCUUUGCACUCCUUGUAGAUAGGAACUACUGGGAUCUUUCCAGGGAAAUACUAUUAUUUUAAAAUUUCUUCCUUUCUCUGGUAUUAUUGGAGGUGGCAGAGGGAACUCUCUUUCAUGAUUUUCUGGUAUUGACUGCCUUUUCACUUUUUUCUAGCUCAAUAAUACACCAAUCUCUUCUCGGCUGUCAUUUGCAGAAAUGACUGGAAAACAGUUUAUGGGGAAAAUACCUAGGGGUGAUAAUAAAUUGCAAAAUGAUAUGGAAGCAAAAAAGACUUGACAUUCUUCCACCCUCAACUCUCUGCAAUAAGUCAAGAAUCCCCUCUGCCUCUUCCAAUCCUGUGCUUCUUUGUUCUGAUGCUGAAGAACUUUUUCCAGGAAGAAUAUACCAAUCUGCAGUUUGAGCAUAGAAGGCUAUCCAGGCUCAGCUGGUUGGAGGAACCAUUUGAUCAUGACAGAAAUACACACUCAAAACAAACACUACACUCUGGAUCACUACAAAAUCUGUUCUGCUCUCUAUACUUAUCAGAAGAUGCUCAAUGCUUGUCUUUCUUGCUAUUAGUUGUCUUGGGGGGAGGAAGGGGAAAUGCUGUAAGGGAUCUCUUCAAUUCACAUAGUUGCCAUGCUUCUCUUCUCUUUAGUCCUUUAUUAAUACCUCCACAAUUACACCCAACUUCCGGUCUUUUCUCUUACCAAUUAAUCUUCUUAAUCCCUUUUCCUAAUUACUUUGUCUUAAGCAAUCCCCUUCUCAAGUCCUCCUCCUCUGCAAACUCUUAACAGCUCUUUCAUCUCUAAUCUCCUUUUGCUUAGAUUUUUCUUCUCAAAACCUUAUCAAGCUCUAACCUAUUUUUCCCUCAUCUUGAGUCCUUCUAUUUCAAAAUAGUUCCAAGUUCUCCCUCAACAGAUUCAAAUUCUGUCCUUCUCCAAAUUUACAAACCCUCCAAGUUACCUUCAUCAUUGCUUUUUUCUCCUUUUUCAGCUCAUGAUCUUCUUAUUCCAUCACAACUUGGGAUCAAAAGAUAAUAAAUCACAAAUUUAGAACUAGAAGGGGCUUCCA
rnacentral:lncRNA from 1 species